UACGGGGGGAGCAAGCGUUGUUCGGAUUUACUGGGCGUAAAGAGCGCGCAGGCGGUCGUUCAAGUCGCGUGUGAAAGCCCCCGGCUCAACUGGGGAGGGUCACGCGAUACUGAUCGACUCGAAGGCAGGAGAGGGAAGUGGAAUUCCCGGUGUAGUGGUGAAAUGCGUAGAUAUCGGGAGGAACACCUGUGGCGAAAGCGGCUCACUGGACCACAACUGACGCUGAGGCGCGAAAGCUAGGGGAGCAAACAGG
rnacentral:rRNA from 1 species